rnacentral:lncRNA from 1 species
UAUGAAUGUAUCGUAAUCUAAGAGGUACGAACAUGUUAUGAUCCAAAGGGUGCGAUUGUUUCAUGACCGAAAAUGUGUAAACGGGUCGUGACCCAAAAGGCUAUGAACGGGUUGUGACCAAAAAGAUGUGAAUGGAUCAUGACUGAAAGAAUGUGAAAGUGUCGUGAAUGUGACCAAAACGGUGCAAAUAGGUUGUGACCAAAAGGAUACAAAUGGU